rnacentral:rRNA from 1 species
UUCGGAGGGUGCAAGCGUUGUCCGGAUUUAUUGGGCUUAAAGGGUGCGUAGGCGGCCCGUUAAGUCAGUGGUGAAAGCCUCCAGCUCAACUGGAGAACUGCCAUUGAUACUGGCGGGCUUGAGUACAGACGAGGUAGGCGGAAUUGAUUGUGUAGCGGUGAAAUGCAUAGAUACAAUCAAGAACACCGAUUGCGUAGGCAGCUUACUAGGCUGUAACUGACGCUGAGGCACGAAAGCGUGGGGAGCGAACAGG